GGCUUAGAGUUUGAUCAUGGCUCAGGACGAACGCUGGCGGCGUGCUUAACACAUGCAAGUCGAACGGGGUGUUUAUUUCGGUAAACACCAAGUGGCGAACGGGUGAGUAACGCGUAAGCAAUCUACCUUCAAGAUGGGGACAACACUUCGAAAGGGGUGCUAAUACCGAAUGAAUGAGAGAUGACCGCAUGGAUAUUUCUCUAAAGGAGGCCUCUGAAAAUGCUUCCGCUUGAAGAUGAGCUUGCGUCUGAUUAGCUAGUUGGUGAGGGUAAAGGCCCACCAAGGCGACGAUCAGUAGCCGGUCUGAGAGGAUGAACGGCCACAUUGGGACUGAGACACGGCCCAGACUCCUACGGGAGGCAGCAGUGGGGAAUCUUCCGCAAUGGGUGAAAGCCUGACGGAGCAACGCCGCGUGAACGAAGAAGGUCUUAGGAUCGUAAAGUUCUGUUGUUAGGGGCGAAGGGCAACAUUUUGAAUAAGGGUGUUGUUUGACGGUACUUAACGAGGAAGCCACGGCUAACUACGUGCCAGCAGCCGCGGUAAUACGUAGGCGGCAAGCGUUGUCCGGAAUUAUUGGGCGUAAAGGGAGCGCAGGCGGGAAGUUAAGAGGACUUUAAAAGUGCGGGGCUCAACCCCGUGAGGGGGUCCGAACUGAUUUUCUUGAGUGCAGGAGAGGGAAGCG
rnacentral:rRNA from 1 species